rnacentral:lncRNA from 1 species
CUCGGCAGUGUGUUGUUCUGUCAUGUUCAGUUGGUGAUGACCACCACUCCUUCUGCAGUGGAGCGGCCGUGAUACGGGGCGGCAGCGUAGCCUAGUGGUUAGAGUGUAGAGGUGGCAGGUAGCCUAGUGGUUAGAGUGUAGAGAUGACAGGUAGGUUAGUGGUUAGAGUGUAGAGAUGACAGGUAGUCUUGUGGUUAGAGUGUAGAGGUGGUAGGUAGUCUAGUGGUUAGAAGGUAGAGGAGGCAGCGUAGCCUAGUGGUUAGAGUGUAGAGGUGGUAGGUAGUCUAGUGGUUAGAGUGUAGAGAUGACAGGUAGUCUUGUGGUUAGAGUGUAGAGGUGGCAGGUAGCCUAGUGGUUAGAGUGUAGAGGUGGCAGGUAGUCUAGUGGUUAGAGUGUAGAGGUGGCAGGUAGCCUAGUGGUUAGAGUGUAGAGAUGACAGGUAGUGUAGUGUUUAGAGUGUAGAGGUGGCAGGUAGUCUAGUGGUUAGAGUGUAGAGGUGGCAGGUGGUCUAGUGGUUAGAGUGUAGAGGUGGCAGGUAGCCUAGUGGUUAGAGUGUAGAGGUGGCAGGUAGCCUAGUGGUUAGAGUGUAGAGGUGGCAGGUGGUCUAGUGGUUAGAGUGUAGAGGUGGCAGGUAGCCUAGUGGUUAGAGUGUAGAGGGGUAAUCUAGUGGUUAGAGUGUAGAGGUGGUAGGUAGCCUAGUGGUUAGAGUGUAGAGGAGGCAGGUAGCCUAGUGGUUAGAGGGUAGAGGUGGCAGGUAGCCUAGUGGUUAGAGUGUAGAGGCGGCAGGUAGCCUAGUGGUUCAAGUGUAGAGGCAGCAGCGUAGCCUAGUGGUUAGAGGGCAGAGGAGGCAGGUAGCCUAGUGGUUAGAGCAUUGGACUAGUAACCGAAAGGUUGCAAGAUCAAAUCCCCGAGCUGACAAGGUAAUAAUAAAUCUGUCGUUCGUCCCCUGAACAAGGCACUUAACCCACUGUUCCCUGGUAGGCCGUCAUUGUAAAUAACAUUUUGUUCUUAACUGACUUGCCUAGUUAAAUAAAGGUAAAAUAAAAAAUAAAUAUGAAUGUUCAGUGUGGUUGACUGCUGGCUUUCAGUAGCAAUGCUCCUGGAUAGUGACAGACCG